GUUAAAGUACAGUUGUGCUUCCAAAAAAAUAGUAUUUGUUUCCAUGAGAACUGUGCUUCUCGAAAAGUGAAAAGCAUAGUUGUGCUUCCCCGAAAAAUGAGAAGCAGAACUUGUGCUUCCUCGAGAAGCACAAUAUGCUUCUUGAAAAGGAAAAGCCGAGAAAAGCGGAAAAAUCACAACCGUGCUUCUUAUUUUUGUUUCGAUUCUGACUUGUUUCCCGUUUUCGGGUUUUAGUUUUUAUUUUUAGUUUUCUCUUGGUUUUUUCGUGAAAACAAAAAUUUCAUCGCAACCUAUUAACAUUGAGAAAUCCAAUGGUGAAAACAGUUUAUGAUUUAGACGCAUUGUUCAAGAGAUAAAACAAUUUGAAAAAACAAACUACGAAUAAAAAAAACUUCGAAGUUGCUCAAGUGACGCACAUGUAGAGAAGGUGGGAGUGACCUUUGCAAGCCCUUAAUUAGUGAUUUCACAUGUAUUGCCGUACAAGCAUUCUAAAUAUACUAAACCUGACCAGGUUUCUUUUACCAGGUUUUUUUUUUACUUUUUCUAAUCAGUAAAACUCGGGCCAAUCGAAGACACGUCAAUUAGUGGGGGACGUGGACAGGUACGCCUUGGGGUGAGUCUAGCAAUUUUCCUGCGAUUUGUUUCUGGUCAAACUUUUCGGUUUGUCGGCCUGCAGGUUGUUUCUAUUGCGCUGCAUGCAUGCUAUACCGUGGGAUGCUUUUGAUAAGGCCACGUGCAUGUGCUUGCUGUUUCUGGUAAUCUUUGGAUGCAUGGCCGCUUAUUCUCUUGCUCUCUCGAGAAGGAUCCUGUCAAUUCAGUUCCACCGCUUCACCGCCGUAGGUGACUAUAAAAGGUUCUCCAGCACCGGCGGUCUUGCCUCACCUCCUCCCUGCCCUUUCCGCCUGACCGCCGAGCUCCGGUUCGCCUCCUAGCGCCGUCCUCAUGCAGCCAUCUGUUAGCCAAGCUUUGCGAGAUGCAUCGAGAGAUGGACCUCGAGCUGCACGCGAUGGCGCCGGGCUAGCACAAGGCAGAGCACCUGGCCGUGGCCGGCGAGGAGGCGCGCAAGGUCGGCGCGUCGGUGCCCACUGGUUGCCAUCCCCAUCUCCCCUUCCUAGGUGCUCCCCUCCGCGUCUUAACUCUUACCCCGAGGUGCUACAGAAGAGACGCCCUACGGGGAGCUAACGUGGAGGAGCGGGCGGCCGCUCGAGGCACAACAUCCUGUUGCAGGCGAGGUGAGUCUCAAUGCUGAUGUUGGUCACCAACGAGGUCUUCGAUCGGAGCGGAAGUCCAGGCGAGGUGGAUUUCGCCGGCGAGGCCCUCUCCGUUCUUCCUCUUGUGUGCGUCUUGGGCAGGAGGCAGGAGGGCCAGCAGGGCCUGAAGUGCCUAGCCCUCCGGGCCACUGAGGCGAGGUGCUGAGGGCGCGCGGUGUUGGCGCAUAAGCCAUGUCCCCGCCGAGGUGACCGGUGUCGGGCGUGCCAGUCCGGUCCGUGGCCGCGUCGAGCCCAUGUUUAGGCAUAGUCUGACCUUGGUCUGGCCAUGGUCCGACUAGUGUAUGGCUUGUGUGCGUGCGUGUGUGGCGCGGGGUGUGUGUCUGUGUGCGCACCUGUUGCGUGGGUAGUUGGCGAUAGUGGCGGGGGUGACCGCGGCGUUCUGUUGGAGCCCGGCCGCGUUGAUCGCGUUGGUGCGCGACGGGUGCGUGAGCUAGGGCGUGCGGAGCGUGCGGGCGUGGAGGAGUGGGGAGCGCGGCGUCGUGUGGGCGCGCCCGUGUAUAAAGCUCCACCCCGCGUACUGUUGUUUGUGUGGGGCUCGAGUUCGUGCUCGAGGAAGACGCCGUUCGUGCGGCAGGCGUUCGUACGCCGGAACCACCGUGUCUUGUGUCUCCCUCCUUUCUUCUUCCUCUAAUCGUUCUAGCGAGAGUACAAAGAGAGAGAGAGUUCCGGUGAGAGGGAGGGCUAGGGCUAGACACCCAACACUUGGCAUCAGGCCUACAGGUUUGCGGCCGUGGCGCGCGGUGGCGUCCGCGGCGCGCGCGGCGAGCACGUCGGACAUGGAGGCUGUAGCGCGCGGCGAGCGCGUGGCGAGCGCGACGCGCGGCGACUCCACGGUGGUGCGGACUGAUGUCGUGCACGCGAAGAGCACGGCAGUCGUGGAGACGAGGAGGUCGCGGAGGAGCUGUGUGGUAGCGCAGAAGUCGCGGCGGCUCGGCGCGACAACCGUGGGGGCACGGAAACGUGGCGCGAGACGGCGCAUGGGACUGGGGGCUGCUUCAGCGGCAGUGGGCGUCGGCUCGUGCUGGAGGCGAAGAGGAGACGACGAUGACGACGAGUGAGGCGAUGUCAUGGCUUAGGGGGUGAUUGUUGGCGCAUAAGCCAUGUCCCCGCCGAGGUGACCGGUGUCGGGCGUGCCUGUCCGGUCCGUGGCCGCGUCCGCGUCGAGCCCAUGUUUAGGCAUAGUCUGACCUUGGUCUGGCCAUGGUCCGACUAGUGUAUGGCUUGUGUGCGUGCGUGUGUGUGGGGCGCGGGGUGUGUGUCUGUGUGCGCACCUGUUGCGUGGGUAGUUGGCGAUAGUGGCGGGGUGACCGCGGCGUUCUGCCGGCCGCGUUGAUCGCGUUGGUGCGCGACGGGUGCGUGAGCUAGGGCGUGCGGAGCGUGCGGGCGUGGAGGAGUGGGGAGCGCGACGUCGUGUGGGCGCGCCCGUGUAUAAAGCUCCACCCCGCGUACUGUUGUUUGUGUGGGGCUCGAGUUCGUGCUCGAGGAAGACGCCGUUCGUGCGGCAGGCGUUCGUGCGCCGGAACCACCGUGUCUUGUGUCUCCCUCCUUUCUUCUUCCUCUGAUCGUUCUAGCGAGAGUACAGAGAGAGAGAGAGAGAGUUCCGGUGAGAGGGAGGGCUAGGGGUACCGUGGCGCGCGGUGGCGUCCGCGGCACGCGCGGCGAGCACGUCGGAUAUGGAGGCUGCAGCGCGCGGCGAGCGCGUGGCGAGCGCUACGCGCGGCGACUCCACGGUGGUGCGGACUGAUGUCGUGCACGCGAAGAGCACGGCAGUCGCGGAGACGAGGAGGUCGCGGAGGAGCUGUGUGGUGGCGCAGAAGUCGCGGCGGCUGGGCGCGACAACCGUGGGGGCACGGAAACAUGGCGCGACGGCGCACGGGACUGCGGGCUGCUGCAGCGGCAGUGGGCGUCGGCUCGUGCUGGAGGCGCAGAGGAGACGACGACGACGAGUCAGGUGAUGUCAUGGCUUAGGGGGUGAUUCUUGGCGCUUAAGCCAUGUCCCUGCCGAGGUGACCGGUGUCGGGCGUGCCAGUCCGUUCCGUGGCCGCGUCGAGCCAAUGUUUAGGCAUAGUCUGACCUUGGUCUGGCCAUGGUCCGACUAGUGUAUGGCUUGUGUGCGUGCGUGUGUGUGUGGCGCGGGGUGUGCGUCUGUGUGCGCACCUGUUGCGUGGGUAAUUGGCGAUAGUGGCGGGGGUGACCGCGGCGUUCUAUUGGAGCCCGGCCGCGUUGAUCGCGUUGGUGCGCGACGGGUGCGUGAGCUAGGGCGUGCGGAGCGUGCGGGCGUGGAGGAGUGGGGAGCGCGGCGUCGUGUGGGCGCGCCCGUGUAUAAAGCUCCACCCCGCGUACUGUUGUUUGUGUGGGGCUCGAGUUCGUGCUCGAGGAAGACGCCGUUCGUGCGGCAGGCGUUCGUGCGCCGGAACCACCGUGUCUUGUGUCUCCCUCCUUUCUUCUUCCUCUGAUCGUUCUAGCGAGAGUACAGAGAGAGAGAGAGAGUUCCGGUGAGAGAGAGGGCUAGGGCUACCGUGGCGUGCGGCGGCGUCCGCGGCACGCGCGGCGAGCACGUCGGACAUGGAGGCUGCAGCGCGUGGCGACCGCGACGCGCAGCGACUCCACGGUGGUGGGGACUGAUGUCGUGCACGCGAAGAGCACGGCAGUCGCGGAGACGAGGAGGUCGCGGAGGAGCUGUGUGGUGGCGCAGAAGUCGCGGCGGCUCGGCGCGACAACCGUGGGGGCACGGAAACAUGGCGCGACGGCGCACGGGACUGCGGGCUGCUGCAGCGGCAGUGGGCGUCGGCUCGUGCUGGAGGCGCAGAGGAGACGACGACAACGAGUCAGGCGAUGUCAUGGCUUAGGGGGUGAUUGUUGGCGCAUAAGCCAUGUCCCCGCCGAGGUGACCGGUGUCGGGCGUGCCAGUCAGGUCCGUGGCCGCGUCGAGCCCAUGUUUAGGCAUAGUCUGACCUUGGUCUGGCCAUGGUCUGACUAGUGUAUGGCUUGUGUGCGUGCGUGUGUGGCGCGGGGUGUGUGUCUGUGUGCGCACCUGUUGCGUGGGUAGUUGGCGAUAGUGGCGGGGGCGACCGCGGCGUUCUGUUGGAGCCCGGCCGCGUUGAUCGCGUUGGUGCGCGACGGGUGCGUGAGCUAGGGUGUGCGGAGCGUGCGGGCGUGGAGGAGUGGGGAGCGCGGCGUCGUGUGGGCGCGCCCGUGUAUAAAGCUCCACCCCGCGUACUGUUGUUUGUGUGGGGCUCGAGUUCGUGCUCGAGGAAGACGCCGUUCGUGCGGCAGGCGUUCGUGCGCCGGAACCACCGUGUCUUGUGUCUCCCUCCUUUCUUCUUCCUCUGAUCGUCCUAGCGAGAGUACAGAGAGAGAGAGAGUUCCGGUGAGAGGGAGGGCUAGGGGUACCGUGGCGCGCGGUGGCGUCCGCGGCACGCGCGGCGAGCACGUCGGAUAUGGAGGCUGCAGCGCGCGGCGAGCGCGUGGCGACUCCACGGUGGUGCGGACUGAUGUCGUGCACGCGAAGAGCACGGCAGUCGCGGAGGAGUUGUGUGGUGGCGCAGAAGUCGCGGCGGCUCGGCGCGACAACCGUGGGGGCACGGAAACAUGGCGCGACGGCGCACGGGACUGCGGGCUGCUGCAGCGGCAGUGGGCGUCGGCUCGUGCUGGAGGCGCAGAGGAGACGAGGACGACGAGUCAGGUGAUGUCAUGGCUUAGGGGGUGAUUCUUGGCGCUUAAGCCAUGUCCCCGCCGAGGUGACCGGUGUCGGGCGUGCCAGUCCGGUCCGUGGCCGCGUCGAGCCCAUGUUUAGGCAUAGUCUGACCUUGGUCUGGCCAUGGUCCGACUAGUGUAUGGCUUGUGUGCGUGCGUGUGUGUGACGCGGGGUGUGCGGCUGUGUGCGCACCUGUUGCGUGGGUAGUUGGCGAUAGUGGCGGGGGUGACCGCGGCGUUCUGUUGGAGCCCGGCCGCGUUGAUCGCGUUGGUGCGUGACGGGUGCGUGAGCUAGGGCGUGCGGAGCGUGCGGGCGUGCAGGAGUGGGGAGCGCGGCGUCGUGUGGGCGCGCCCGUGUAUAAAGCUCCACCCCACGUACUGUUGUUUGUGUGGGGCUCGAGUUCGUACUCGAGGAAGACGCCGUUCGUGCGGCAGGCGUUCAUGCGCCGGAACCAUCGUGUCUUGUGUCUCCCUCCUUUCUUCUUCCUCUGAUCGUUCUAGCGAGACUAGCGAGAGUAUAGAGAGAGAGGGGUUCCGGUGAGAGGGAGGGCCAGGGCUAGACACCCAACACGCGGUGCGGCUCGCACUGGGACUCGUGCUCCGCCGCCAUGGCGACGGCCAGCGCAGGACAUGCGCGACACUGGGAGGGGAGCCAAGUAUGAGGCUCUGGAGUGGCUCAUGCAGCGCGUCGCGCGCGGCGGUGCUGGUGGCUUGCAAUUGCAGGUUGACCAUGGGCGGUGGACCUCGGGCAGAGCUCACAUGUGGUUGCGGCGGUGCGCGGACAAGUGAAGCUCGCGGCGUGAUGGCGGCGCGUCGUGUGUGUGUGCGCGCGCUGUUUGCGCCCACUGUGCGUGUGUGGGACGGUCUGAUGACGCGACGAACGAUGUCGAGGCAGCAGGCCACUGGCGCUCGGUAUCGACGUAACGGAGCUCCUUUCCCUUACAGAUGCGGGCGCCGUCUCCUCUCAUGUCCCCUUCCCUCCUCUCUCUCGCCGCCGCCUGCGUGCGUGCACGUACAGCUUGCUCGCCGAUAGAGGGUGCGCCGCUGCUCUCCUUCUCUCUCCUUCUCUCUCUCUCUCUCUCUCUCUCUCUCCAAGGCGACCGUGUUCCCGAGCCGCCGCCCCCUACCCAAGCUCCCGCAGCGCUACAUGUUGCCGCACGCCGUAUCUCUUUCGCGGUUUGGCCUCGCUCUUGGCACCGCGCCGGUCUACGAUGGCCACCAUCUGCCGGACAGUAAGACCCGAUAUGGUGGUCGCCUCGACGACCGGUGGGCGCAAGCCAGCUGCGGCCCUUCGCCAUCCCCGAGCCAGCCGCGGCCCUUCGCCUACGGCAUGCUCGGCGCGCAUCUCCCGACCGGCGUGCGCACAUAGCCUCAUCUGCUAGGGAUAUGCGUCACCAGCUCACUCUAUCUGUUACACCGAUGCCACUCCCGAUGCGGACUGCGGUUGUGCUUCUUUUCGUUGUUAAAUAUAAUCUUGAUGUCUUGUGUAUCUGCAUGUUUACUUUCGUAUUUGCAUGUAGUAGUGUGUCUGUGCAGAGCUACGUGAGGCGUACAACUGAUGGGUUCAGUUUGAAGAGCAUGCAUGGUGAGACUCCAACGUGCAGUGAGAAGCUGCUGCAUGCAAAGAUCUGAAACUAACGAGCUGUACAAAUUAUCUAGGAAGUUGUUAUGCAUGCGUGUGUUAGUGGCAUAAGAAUAGGUGAUGGAUUAGUUGGUUAGUGGAGCAGGUCGUGUGCACAAAGAGCCGGGCACGUUGUGGCCUGGCAGCGUGUGCGAGCUAGCUACUUAAAGCGUUGUAAUUAAGUUCGUCUGGUUAAGAAAUACAGAGAGAAAAAGCCGUGAGCUGUGCGAGAGCACGGCACCAAAUAUCCUGUGUUCUUGUGUGUGUUGUGUGAAACAACCAAGAGAGAAGAGGUGAGCUCAGAGAGUCGGCUCCAACAUUCGUGUCUGUGAAUCCGUGAUGCCGUAGCCAGCAUCUCUCUACAUCUGGAUGUAGCGGAGCACAGCGAGCACCGGAGCGGCCACUCGAUUGACGGGGCCACCUCCCAAGGCUCCUCGGCCAUCACCUUCCCCAUGGCCGCCCUCGCGCGACUCCAUGCCGGCCGUUCAGCUCAGCAGUCCUCUCGAGGAGAGUACACUAUCGACAAUGGUAGCAUGCUUAUGCCACGAAGGGACGCCAUAGUCAUGCACAGAGUGGUCGGCGUGUUUCUGUGGAUACAACGGUUACGAAUCUGCAGGCUGGCGCCCACAAAGCCUGGCUGCUAUUUAUGACUGUCGGUGUAGCCUUCGAAUUUCACAGCAAGGUCGUAUGUGAUUAUUAAUACUGUAGCAGACCGUACAUGUACACUCUCAUAUAAAUGGACCGUGGAAUUGGAUUAUGGUUGUUGGCAUUACUUCAACUAUUUUAUGCAGUCCUUCAUUGAUUCUAGGAACUGAAUAACAUUUUUGUGAGGAAUCGAUGAAUAGCAAUUUGAUAAGUAUUGUGAGUGUGUAAGCAACGCAUUCACAACUCCAAAGCAGCUGAGCCGCAGCUCACAAACUCUUGUUUCAUAAAAGAUUAGAGUGAAAGACUUUGGCGAAUGAUUAUUUCAGCAAAACCUGAUUAACUGACUAACUUAAGAGUAUUUUAAAAGUAUUUUGGAUAAGCAUUCUGGUUUGCACUCUGCAAUUCAAAGAUGAGCACCACUGAAUUUCAAGAAAGAUAUGAUAAAGGGUCUGACUAACACUUAUUUAGAUGAGAAUAAAAUCUGCAUGAUUAAACUUUCUGAGUUAUUUUGUGAUCUUUUAUCUGCCUAGCUAAUAUGUUACUUUCAAGUAGAAAGCAAAAAUGAUGGCGAGUCUUUUUUUUUUUUUUCUGUUUAGUACUACAGUUAGCUUAGUUUUCUAUUUGGUGCAGCUUGGUGAAUUUUCAGCUGAGCUACCAUCACAUGGUAAAUUUUGUUUUCUAUAGUAUUGAUGUGGCAAUUUUGUGAGUGCAGUCUUACCUUUGACAUACUGUAUGUUGCAUAAUCAAAGUAUCCUUUUUCUCAAUAUAGCCCAACCAUGGCAAACUGCAGGUGAUUACUUACUUUCAUCGAUAUUGGCUCAUGUAUACAGAGCAGUGCAUGGAACUGCCUAUUUGAAGGGAAUAUAUUUGGUUUUUCAUUUUGGCAAAAUAUUGGGUGAAAUACUAAGCGACUAUACGAAGUUUAUGUAUGUCUACUUUCGCAUUGGGUUUUCAUUUUGACAAAAUAUUAACUGAAAUACUUAGCGACUACAUAUACUUGGAUUGUACAUUAAUUGGGUGCUUAAACAAAAAAUGGUACUUCAUUCAUUAUUUUACUAUUCUCAUUUCUAAUAAUUUUUAUACAAAGCUUGCCUUUUAUGUUACCUUGGUACCAAAUAGCUGAGCUUGCUCCUUGCUCGCAUAUUAGGGUAACUUGAUCCAUGCAGGAAUUAUGGGAUUGAGACACACAAUGAAGCAAGGAAUGAUUUAUACUAUUUUUUGCCAAUUUGCUUUUGCUUUGUUAUGAUGCUUAGUUCACAUUUGGGUUUCUAUUUUAGAAAAUCAUUAGCAAGAAUAAUUAGUUGCUAUACUUAUAUUAUAUAUGAGGCAAGGUAGUUCUUACAUUGCUUUAAUUACUCUACCCUUAUUAUACGCAGUGUUAGUAAAGUAGGCUUUGAAGUAUCGAAUUACUAUGCUUCGUCUUGUUCAAUUGAGGGCGACUGGUCAUUUUCUUCUCAUGUCUACAUAACACUAUAUUGUUUACAUCAAAGUGCAACCACAAUCAAAUCGUAAGUGUUUGUCCCUUUAUACUAAAUGUCUUUUGUCAUAACAUUAAUUUGGCUAAUUUACUUCACAUAUGGAGCCUACCUUAUUUAAUUGUCCACCGAUCUGUUUGUUCUAUCCUCAUUUUCACAAACAAUGGAUAGUAUUUGUCCUUUUCCACUGGUUAUCUUUUGUCAUAACAUUGAUUUUGCAAAUUUACUUCACAUAUGGAGCUUGCCUUAUUUAUUUGUGUACUGAUCUAUUUGUUCUAUCCUCAAUUUUUCAAGGUCACCAAUCUUUGCAUGUAGAAACAAUGGGAAAGCCUCAAGACUCCAUAGUCAGAGAAGGGGAAGUAUCCUUUGCAGCUGCAUUAAAAAAAGGGGAAUGAGGUGAUUUGUUAUCUAUAACUCACGGUAUCGAUUAUCGAGCGUUCAAUCAGGGUCAACGAUGGGAUAAUAGAAUUCACAAAUCCUGGUUUCAUGGCAACAUCUACAUAAUACUAAAAAAAUAUUAGGCUAAUAAGAUAAAUCCACAGAAAAGUGAUAUUAUCUAAAAUGUUGUUGAUGGUGGUAUAUUCUAUUUGAUCUUAGUAUCACAUUUUUGUUUGGUUAUGUAUGUGGAGUGAUAGUAUAUCAUAAUAUGACACCCUUUCCCUCCUUUUACUUUUCCUAA